CCUAACGGUUGUUGGGGUGGGUAGGGGAGCGUCGUGUGCCGGGUGAAGCAGCCGUGUAAGCGAGUUGUGGACGGUUCACGAGUGAGAAUGCAGGCAUGAGUAGCGAUACAAGAGUGGGAAACUCUUGCGCCGAUUGACUAAGGGUUCCUGGGUCAAGCUGAUCUGCCCAGGGUAAGUCGGGACCUAAGGCGAGGCCGACAGGCGUAGUCGAUGGAUAACCGGUUGAUAUUCCGGUACCCGUGAUACAGCGACCCACACUGAAUCUUCUGAUGCUAAGGCCGUGAAGCCGCCUUUGAUCCCUUCGGGGUGAUGAGGAGUGGUGGAGCCGCUGAACCAAGGUGGUAGUAGGUGAGUGAUGGGGUGACGCAGGAAGGUAGUCCAUCCCGGGCGGUGGUUGUCCCGGGGUAAGGGUGUAGGACGUCGUGUAGGCAAAUCCGCAUGACAUAUAAGUCUGAGACCUGAUGCCGAGCCGUUUGUGGUGAAGUGGAUGAUCCUAUGCUGUCGAGAAAAGCCUCUAGCGAUGUUGUGUUGCGGCCCGUACCCUAAACCGACUCAGGUGGUCAGGUAGAGAAUACCGAGGCGUUCGGGUGAACUAUGGUUAAGGAACUCGGCAAAAUGCCCCCGUAACUUCGGGAGAAGGGGGGCCACACCUGGUGAACACUCUUGCAGUGGGAGCUGGGGGUGGCCGCAGAGACCAGCGAGAAGCGACUGUUUACUAAAAACACAGGUCCGUGCGAAGCCGUAAGGCGAUGUAUACGGACUGACGCCUGCCCGGUGCUGGAACGUUAAGGGGACCGGUUAGCUGCAUUUCGGUGUGGCGAAGCUGAGAACUUAAGCGCCAGUAAACGGCGGUGGUAACUAUAACCAUCCUAAGGUAGCGAAAUUCCUUGUCGGGUAAGUUCCGACCUGCACGAAUGGCGUAACGACUUCUUGACUGUCUCAACCAUAGGCCCGGUGAAAUUGCAGUACGAGUAAAGAUGCUCGUUUCGCGCAGCAGGACGGAAAGACCCCGGGACCUUUACUAUAGCUUGAUAUUGGUGUUCGGUUCGGCUUGUGUAGGAUAGGUGGGAGACUGUGAAGCAUGCACGCCAGUGUGUGUGGAGUCGUUGUUGAAAUACCACUCUGGUCGUGCUGGAUGUCUAACCUGGGUCCGUGAUCCGGAUCAGGGACAGUGUCUGGUGGGUAGUUUAACUGGGGCGGUUGCCUCCUAAAGAGUAACGGAGGCGCCCAAAGGUUCCCUCAGCCUGGUUGGUAAUCAGGUGUUGAGUGUAAGUGCACAAGGGAGCUUGACUGUGAGACUGACGGGUCGAGCAGGGACGAAAGUCGGGACUAGUGAUCCGGCGGUGGCUUGUGGAAGCGCCGUCGCUCAACGGAUAAAAGGUACCCCGGGGAUAACAGGCUGAUCUUCCCCAAGAGUCCAUAUCGACGGGAUGGUUUGGCACCUCGAUGUCGGCUCGUCGCAUCCUGGGGCUGGAGUCGGUCCCAAGGGUUGGGCUGUUCGCCCAUUAAAGCGGCACGCGAGCUGGGUUUAGAACGUCGUGAGACAGUUCGGUCCCUAUCCGCUGCGCGCGUUGGAGUUUUGAGAAGGGCUGUCCCUAGUACGAGAGGACCGGGACGGACGGACCUCUGGUGUGCCAGUUGUUCUGCCAAGGGCAUGGCUGGUUGGCUACGUUCGGGAGGGAUAACCGCUGAAAGCAUCUAAGCGGGAAGCCUGCUUCGAGAUGAGGACUCCCACCCACUUUGUUGGGGUAAGGCUCCCAGUAGACGACUGGGUUGAUAGGCCGGAGAUGGAAGACCUGUGAGGGUUGGAGUUGACCGGUACUAAUAGGCCGAGGGCUUGACCAUAU
rnacentral:rRNA from 1 species